AAAGUGAAAGAAAUGGAGUUAUUGUUAAUGAAUAAUAGAAUCGGACAGUUCACAAAGACUGUAGAUAUUUAUAGUCACUGUUGAUAUGUUGAUUGAAUAUUUAUUCUAUUCACUAUUUGUGAUCGGUUUUGACAUGAAAAUGGCGAGGUUGUGACGUAAAAUUGCCCAUGAAGAAUCCAUGAUGUUAGAUUGUUUAGCAGGUAUGGCUAGAAUGACAUGGUCUGUGAUGACUCUGUUGGUUAUCCUCGUUACAAUUAAAGCUGAUUGGUCCACAGAUCCAGAAUGGUCGAUACAGGUGUAUUUAAACGAUAACACAACGUUUCGAUGUAAUGACAGCAAUUCAACACUGGUACGUACAGACGAAAUAUGGUGGGUGCUUCCAAACGAUGCCAAAAUACAUGGAUAUUCUCAGAGAAACAAUGAAAAAUACGAACUAAUGGACGAUAACAAACUCAGGGGUGGAUUUUUAAAAAUUAAAAAUAUACAAAUGAGUGACAGUGGUGUGUAUUAUUGUCUCGUGAACAGAGGCCUCGAGUUUUAUACAAAAACCAACCAUGGAUUAAACCUUAUUGGGCCUUUACGAAGGGACAGAUUGGAGAUUUAUCGCCCCAGGUUCAUCAUUGCUGGAGCUCUCGCUGGAGGUUUCAUGCUGGCGAUGCUGUUACUCUGGUGUGUCUCUGAAUGUCGAUGGAAGGAGAAACUGGACCAAGAGGAUGAAACUCAGGAGGAAUUUUUCGAUUUUGCUGAUGAAUCAAGUGAAUAUGAAUAUGCGAAUGACGAUAAUUUGUCUAUAACUGCGAUUUCUGUUCGCUAUUCGGCAAAAUAUGUGUAUAAUAUUUAUAACAUAGAAAACCCUGUUUACCAAGAUACACAUCUCUAAUAAAAUGACUUACUCGGA